rnacentral:rRNA from 1 species
AUUGAACGCUGGCGGCAGGCCUAACACAUGCAAGUCGAGCGGAUGAAGGGAGCUUGCUCCUGGAUUCAGCGGCGGACGGGUGAGUAAUUCCUAGGAAUCUGCCUGGUAGUGGGGGAUAACGUCCGGAAACGGGCGCUAAUACCGCAUACGUCCUGAUGGAGAAAGGGGGGGAUCUUCGGACCUCACGCUAUCAGAUGAGCCUAGGUCGGAUUAGCUAGUUGGUGGGGUAAAGGCCUACCAAGGCGACGAUCCGUAACUGGUCUGAGAGGAUGAUCAGUCACACUGGAACUGAGACACGGUCCAGACUCCUACGGGAGGCAGCAGUGGGGAAUAUUGGACAAUGGGCGAAAGCCUGAUCCAGCCAUGCCGCGUGUGUGAAGAAGGUCUUCGGAUUGUAAAGCACUUUAAGUUGGGAGGAAGGGCAGUAAGUUAAUACCCUGCUGUUUUGACGUUACCAACAGAAUAAGCACCGGCUAACUUCGUG